UUCCGUAGGUGAACCUGCGGAAGGAUCAUUAAUGAAACUUCAAAGUCGGUCAAUUGUGCUGGUGACCCUGUCGCAGGUGCACAUCGGUCGCAAAUCCACACACACCUGUGCACCUCUGACCUUGAAGCUCGCUCGCUCAUCGAGCAGCCGGCUGCCCUCGUUGGUGGUCCGAGUUUUGGGGUAUUUACACACACGAAUGUAAUGGAAUGUCCAUCGUGCUUAACUGCACAUCUAAUACAACUUUCAACAACGGAUCUCUUGGCUCUCGCAUCGAUGAAGAACGCAGCGAAAUGCGAUAAGUAAUGUGAAUUGCAGAAUUCAGUGAAUCAUCGAAUCUUUGAACGCACCUUGCACCCUCUGGUAUUCCGGAGGGUACGCCCGUUUGAGUGUCAUUGUAAUCUCACACCUCAGGAUUCUGUCUUCGAGGUAUGUGGACUUGGAUGCUGUCGCCUGACUGUGGCUCAUCUCAAAUGCAUGAGUGUACCCUGCUUUUUGUGGUGUAUUCGGUGUGAUAAGCAUUCUUCACCGGAGUUGGUCCCUCGGGGCACAUCGCAGUGGCUUGGCUCUACGCUUCCAACGGUCUUCGGACAAUGCUUGACAUUUUGACCUCAAAUCGGGUGGGACUACCCGCUGAACUUAAGCAUAUCAAUAAGCGGAGGAAAAGAAACUAACAAGGAUUCCCCUAGUAACGGCGAGUGAAGAGGGAUGAGCUCAAAUUUUGAAUCUGGUGUCUUCGAUGCCCGAGUUGUAAACUAGAGAAGUGUUUUCCGUGUUGGACCGUGCACAAGUUCCCUGGAACGGGGCGUCAUAGAGGGUGAGAAUCCCGUAUAUGGCACGGACUCCCUUCACAUUGUGAUACACUCUCGACGAGUCGAGUUGUUUGGGAAUGCAGCUCAAAAUGGGUGGUAAAUUCCAUCUAAAGCUAAAUAUUGGCGAGAGACCGAUAGCGAACAAGUACCGCGAGGGAAAGAUGAAAAGCACUUUGGAAAGAGAGUGAAACAGUACGUGAAAUUGUUGAAAGGGAAGCGUUUAAAGUCAGUCACGCUCGUUGGAACUCAGCCUGGCUUCUGCCUGGUGCACUUUCUUAUGAGCGGGUCAGCGUCAAUUUUGACCGAGGGAGAAAGGUGUUGGGAAUGUGGCAGUCCUUGGGCUGUGUUAUAGCCCUUCACUGUAUGUCUUGGUUGGGAUUGAGGGCUGCAGCGCGCCUUUAUGGCUGGGGUUUUGUGCCCUCGGUACGCGCUUAGGAUGCUGGCAUAAUGGCUUUAAGCGACCCGUCUUG
rnacentral:rRNA from 1 species